AUACGGAGGGUGCAAGCGUUAUUCGGAAUCACUGGGCGUAAAGGGUGCGUAGGCGGUUUGAUAAGUCUGAUGUGAAAUCCUAUGGCUCAACCAUAGAACUGCAUUGGAAACUGUCAGACUAGAAUACUGAAGGGGCAGAUGGAAUUAGUGGUGUAGGGGUAAAAUCCGUAGAUAUCGCUAGGAAUACCGAAAGCGAAAGCGAUCUGCUGGGAAGUUAUUGACGCUGAGGCACGAAAGCGUGGGGAGCAAACGGGAUUAGAAACCCUAGUAGUCC
rnacentral:rRNA from 1 species